GUAUUUACACGGCAGGAUUUACCAUGAUGGCAAAAAUGGUUUUCCCUAGGCAAGGCUUAACUGUUGCACUCUGAAUGUGCUGACUUCUGUGAUUUUCCUAAAUGUGGGAGAUGCUGACUGUAUAAUUUACAAUAGUGGAGACUAUUUGCAUUCUACC